rnacentral:rRNA from 1 species
AUUCCAGCUCCAAUAGCGUAUAUUAAAGUUGUUGCAGUUAAAAAGCUCGUAGUUGGAUUUCUGAUUUGAAUGUCCGGUCCGCUUGUGUUAUCAUGAGUGCGUACUAUGUGAUAUUUGAUUCAUUUUUUGUGAGGAAAUUUAUCUGUCAUUAAGAUAAUGGAUUACGGACUUGCAUCUUUUACUGUGAAAAAAUUAGAGUGUUUAAAGCAGGCGUUUGCCUUUUGAAUACAUUAGCAUGGAAUAAUAAGAUAUGACUUUGGUGGUCUAUUUUGUUGGUUUGCACACCAGAGUAAUGAUUAAUAGGGACAGUUGGGGGUAUUCAUAUUUCAGCGUCAGAGGUGAAAUUCUUAGAUCGCUGAAAGAUGAGCUUAGGCGAAAGCAUUUACCAAGGAUGUUUUCAUCA